rnacentral:rRNA from 1 species
AUUGAACGCUGGCGGAAUGCUUUACACAUGCAAGUCGAACGGUAGAGGAGGCAACCCCUCGAGAGUGGCGAACGGGUGAGUAAUAUAUCGGAACGUGCCCAGUCGUGGGGGAUAACGUAGCGAAAGUUACGCUAAUACCGCAUACGAUCUAAGGAUGAAAGCGGGGGAUCGCAAGACCUCGCGCGAUUGGAGCGGCCGAUAUCAGAUUAGGUAGUUGGUGGGGUAAAGGCUCACCAAGCCAACGAUCUGUAGCUGGUCUGAGAGGACGACCAGCCACACUGGAACUGAGACACGGUCCAGACUCCUACGGGAGGCAGCAGUGGGGAAUUUUGGACAAUGGACGCAAGUCUGAUCCAGCCAUUCCGCGUGCAGGAUGAAGGCCCUCGGGUUGUAAACUGCUUUUGUACGGAACGAAAAGGUCUCUCUUACUACGGGGGACUCAUGACGGUACCGUAAGAAUAAGCACCGGCUAACUACGUGCCAGCAGCCGCCGUAAGAC